rnacentral:rRNA from 1 species
UACGAACCGUACGAACGUUAUUCGGAUUUACUGGGCUUAAAGGGUGCGUAGGCGGCGCGGAAAGUUGGGUGUGAAAUCCCUCGGCUUAACCGAGGAACUGCGCCCAAAACUACCGUGCUCGAGGGAGACAGAGGUGAGCGGAACUUAGGGUGGAGCGGUGAAAUGCGUUGAUAUCCUAAGGAACACCAGUGGCGAAAGCGGCUCACUGGGUCUCUUCUGACGCUGAUGCACGAAAGCUAGGGUAGCGAACGGG